rnacentral:tRNA from 1 species
GGGAAUUUAGCUCAGGGGUAGAGCACUUGCCUAGCAAGCACAAGGCCCUGGGUUCGAUCUCCAGUUCCG